GCAUCUAGCUCAGACAGUAGAACAUGAGACCCUUAGUCUCAGGGUCGUGGGUUCAAGCCCAAAUGUUGAACA